AUGGUGAAAAGAACUAAAAGAAAUCAAAGAGUAAAUGACUUCAAAUUGGUAUCUUUCAACUAUAAUUUUAAUCCAGCUGGGAACAUUUUCAGUGCGCAUAAGACAAGAAGUCAGAAGACCCUGAUGAGGCCACUCCUCGAGAGCUCAAGGACGAACAUCUCCAAUUGGGCAGCAAAUGCUGCACAUUCACUCCUCUCUUCUUUCAGAAUAAUGCCUUUCCAUUUGGUAUAAGAUGUAUAUUGUUACAAUGAUAGCAGGGGAAUUUGAAAAUGUUUGCAAUGUGGAGAAAAGAGUAUAACAUCUGACUAAACUUUGUCAAAAUUUAUUCUUUAAACUAUCUGUUAUAUAUCCCAAGACACAAAUGGGCUAAAUGAGAGCCUUAGGUUUUUCUUUAAAAAGCAGGUAAAUUAUUAUUAUUAUUAUUAUUAUUAUUAUUAUUAUUAUUUUGCCAUGUUAACCCAGAGAUGCUGGAAAAUACAUAGUGCACUUACGGUGGUCACAACUGAUACAUGAUAUCACAAAGUAAAAUAUUUAUUCUUAUUGGUAGCAUUGGAAUAGUUACAUACUAUAGAUCUUUAGCAAAUUACUGAACCCUGUGCUUCAAUUCCAUCAUUUUAAAAAGGGAAUGAUAAUAGCAUUAACAUCACAGAGUUGCUGUGAGGAUUAUGCAAGCACUGGAAAGAGAGCCUGGACAGGCAACUACUGUGUGAUCUGGCAAUUGCAAUCCUACACAUUUACCCCGGAGAAAUGAAAAGCUGUGUUCACAUGAAAAUCUGUACACAAAUAUUCAUAGCACCUUUAUCCAUAAUGGCCACAAAUUUAAAUAGUGUUGUUUCAAAGCAUAGAUUUUAUUAUUGUUUAAGUGUGAUGAGACCAACAGAUCAGGAGGUGACUGCCAUUGAAAUGGUGGUUUGUUACAGUUUGUAAAAGGAGGGGCAUGCCACGCCAUGCAGGGCCACAUGAGGAAGCAUCAGGGUUAAUCAGCAAGCAAAGAGAGGGGAGAAAAAUAAGAACAUGAACCCUUAUUGUAGUUUCCACAAGAGGGAAUAUGUGAAGCAGAGCCAGCAGGCUUAGGAUUGGCUAGUUUUAAUAAUUUUAGCAGGUUGUGGGGUGUAAGUACUGUCUGGUACCUGACCCUGGGUGAUUAGGGUAGGGGAAUAUUGGCUUGGAAUAUAAGAGCUUUGAUGUUAUGAUUACAUAUGCAUAUUUGUUUUUAUCCAUGGUUCCUGGCUCAUAACUCCCAGAGCCCUUAUUGUAGUCUUUUGUUAUAAUGUUGGGGGUACUUUAGGCCUCAGGAAACAGAAUCUCUUUCUCUGAUUUUCUCCUGUCCUCCUUUUAUCUGCACAAGGCAGGGCUCUCAUCUGAUUGUAGGUCAAAGGACCCUCAUUCCAGAGAGAUUCCUGCCCCAUAUUCUGCAGGAAGGAAUGCUGCCCAGAGAAGCCGAGAAGAAUUUAAACACACAGGUCUUGCCAGGGUUCCCCACUCAGUCCAUUAGCAUGAGAUCAUACCUUUUGUCCAAUUACAUUGCCACACAGUUGCCACUCAUCACUGUGUAAUGAAUCCUCCAUUAAAACCCCAAAGGACAGGGUUCAGAGAGCUUCCACAUGGCUAAGCAUGUGGAGGUUGCUGGAGGGUGGUGUGCUCAAGGAGAGCGUGGAAUCUCUGAGCUCUUUCUCCCAGGCCUCUCCUAUGCAUCUCUUUAUCUAUAUCUUUUGUAAUAUACUUUAUAACAAACUGGCAAAAUAUGUGUUUCCCUGAGUUCUGUGAGGCACUUCAAAUUCAUCAAACCCAAAGAGGGAGUAGUGGGAACCCCAAGUGGAAACCCCAAAGGCCUGGACUUGCAACUGCU
ensembl:lncRNA